ACAAAGUCAAGAGACGCCAGCGAUAACGUCAUCUUUUUAAACCAUGUAAUCAUGACAGUAUCAUGACGAUACCGCGUCAUUUUUGUUUUUUAUGAUUCUUAUUAUUAAUACAAGUGAUAAAAAAGAAGUAAAAAGUAAAAGUAAAAAAGAAAAGGGAGAUGGCACGUGAGAAUGUUGUUGACUUGAAGAAGCGGUCGUGUAUUAUGCAUAGCGCCUAAAUGUUUCUUCGUCAUUCCCAAUACUCUGCCCACUCUUGUCGCCCAAGCUUCCCUCUCCACUCUUUUAGUCUUUUUCCUUCCUCAAAAAGAUUCCAUUCUUCGUAUUUUCUUUGCAGAAACUGAAAUUAUUUACAAGUUUUAUGUCUCCUUAGUCCUUAUAGGCCGUCUGG